rnacentral:rRNA from 1 species
AUUGAACGCUGGCGGCAGGCCUAACACAUGCAAGUCGAGCGGAUGAAGGGGGCUUGCUCCUGGAUUCAGCGGCGGACGGGUGAGUAAUGCCUAGGAAUCUGCCUGGUAGUGGGGGAUAACGUCCGGAAACGGGCGCUAAUACCGCAUACGUCCUGAGGGAGAAAGUGGGGGAUCUUCGGACCUCACGCUAUCAGAUGAGCCUAGGUCGGAUUAGCUAGUUGGUGGGGUAAAGGCCUACCAAGGCGACGAUCCGUAACUGGUCUGAGAGGAUGAUCAGUCACACUGGAACUGAGACACGGUCCAGACUCCUACGGGAGGAAGCAGUGGGGAAUAUUGGACAAUGGGCGAAAGCCUGAUCCAGCCAUGCCGCGUGUGUGAAGAAGGUCUUCGGAUUGUAAAGCACUUUAAGUUGGGAGGAAGGGCAGUAAGUUAAUACCUUGCUGUUUUGACGUUACCAACAGAAUAAGCACCGGCUAACUUCGUG